ACCAUGUAUCAUUUGCCUACAACUUUGCCGAAGACACCAAAUCGAUCAAAAAAUUUCUUCAAAAGAUACAGAUUCUUGAAUUUUCACAUAUCAUUUUUCUAUGGACAGCUGCCAAAUUUGUAAGGAAAAUUAUAUGGAAAAACUAAUGAUGCAAAAGGGCUUUUUUGGCAUACCGAAGGCAUCAAAAAAAAAUUCAUUCAUAUGAAAAAAUACAAAAAAAAAAUCGAAUGACCGAAAUCUGAAAGAAUUGCUUAAAGGUGAAAUUAGUAGAACGUCGUUAGACUUACUAAAGCGAAAGCAUUUGCUAUGUAUGUUUUUUGUAAAUCAAGAACGAAAGAAAGAGGAUCGAAGGCGAUUAGAUACCGCCCUAGUUCUAACCGUAAACAAUAUUGUAUUGGCAUAACGUCAGCUGUGUGCUAUCUUGUGACAUAGACCAUUUUGGUCGAAAAUGAGUUAAUG
rnacentral:ncRNA from 1 species